AGGCCUAACACAUGCAAGUCGAGCGGUAGAGAGAAGCUUGCUUCUCUUGAGAGCGGCGGACGGGUGAGUAACGCGUAGGAAUCUACCUGGUAGUGGGGGACAACAUUCGGAAACGGAUGCUAAUACCGCAUACGCCCUACGGGGGAAAGGAGGGGAUCUUCGGACCUUUCGCUAUCAGAUGAGCCUGCGUAGGAUUAGCUAGUUGGUGGGGUAAAGGCCCACCAAGGCGACGAUCCUUAGCUGGUCUGAGAGGAUGACCAGCCACACUGGGACUGAGACACGGCCCAGACUCCUACGGGAGGCAGCAGUGGGGAAUAUUGGACAAUGGGGGCAACCCUGAUCCAGCCAUGCCGCGUGUGUGAAGAAGGCCUUCGGGUUGUAAAGCACUUUCAGUGGUGAGGAAAGGGUAACCGCUAAUACCGGUUAUCUGUGACGUUAGCCACAGAAGAAGCACCGGCUAAUUCCGUGCCAGCAGCCGCGGUAAUACGGAAGGUGCGAGCGUUAAUCGGAAUAACUGGGCGUAAAGCGCGCGUAGGUGGUUGAGUCAGUCAGAUGUGAAAGCCCCGGGCUUAACCUGGGAACUGCACCUGAUACUGCUUAACUAGAGUACGGUAGAGGGCAGUGGAAUUUCCUGUGUAGCGGUGAAAUGCGUAGAUAUAGGAAGGAACACCAGUGGCGAAGGCGACUGCCUGGACUGAUACUGACACUGAGGUGCGAAAGCGUGGGUAGCAAACAGGAUUAGAUACCCUGGUAGUCCACGCCGUAAACGAUGUCGACUAGCCGUUGGGAAACUUGUUUUCUUAGUGGCGCAGUUAACGCGAUAAGUCGACCGCCUGGGG
rnacentral:rRNA from 1 species